AUGGCCACAUCGCAGCAAAACACUGGUUCCCAUAAUAUCACCAAAGUUAAGCAACAUAGAGCAUGGUGAGUACCUAGAUAGGUGACAGCUGGGGAAUAUCAGGUGCUGUAAG